CCUACGGGGGACAGCAGUAGGGAAUCUUCCACAAUGGGCGAAAGCCUGAUGGAGCAACGCCGCGUGGGUGAAGAAGGUCUUCGGAUCGUAAAACCCUGUUGUUAGAGAAGAAAGUGCGUGAGAGUAACUGUUCACGUUUCGACGGUAUCUAACCAGAAAGCCACGGCUAACUACGUGCCAGCAGCCGCGGUAAUACGUAGGUGGCAAGCGUUAUCCGGAUUUAUUGGGCGUAAAGGGAACGCAGGCGGUCUUUUAAGUCUGAUGUGAAAGCCUUCGGCUUAACCGGAGUAGUGCAUUGGAAACUGGGAGACUGGAGUGCAGAAGAGGAGAGUGGAACUCCAUGUGUAGCGGUGAAAUGCGUAGAUAUAUGGAAGAACACCAGUGGCGAAAGCGGCUCUCUGGUCUGUAACUGACGCUGAGGUUCGAAAGCGUGGGUAGCAAACAGGAUUAGAUACCCUAGUAGUC
rnacentral:rRNA from 1 species